rnacentral:lncRNA from 1 species
UUAAAAACUUUUAUUAAAAAUCGAGUGCUUUAUUAAAAAGUACUUACUUGAAAGUACUUUCUCGUGAGCAUUUCUAUCUUUUGUUUUCUCCAGACACACUCGAAAACACUUCCAACAAACACAAACCGAAACACUUUGAUCAUAUAACAUGCACAAAGACAAAAGCAGUUACUAUUAAACAUAAACACCGUAGCAAACAACACACGUUACACAAACCCAGUCAUAGACAUACUCAACACUCGCAUUUCACACACGUAAAUUAAACAUACAUACCCUUUAAUUAAUAUGUUUUUAAUUCCUAGCCAUACAAAUAUUUAGCUAGAACAAUUCCGCUGCCUUAAUACAGAAGCUGCCCUUGUUGCUGAUAUGCCACCAGGUCAUCCAGCAUCCACAGGUACAACGAGUCCGACUCUCCGCUUCCACUCACCACCUGACUCAGCUGCUCUACCACCACCUCGUCCCCACCCGCCA